AGACCGUGAUGAGGGCAUAGUCUCAUCAUGUCCUUAUAUCAUUCCCAAGCUUCGAAAAGUGAUUCUCCAUUUGUCUGUCUAAACAUGGUUAUGUGAUUUCUUAGCAC